rnacentral:sRNA from 1 species
UUCAUUACCUAGAGUUGUAGGCUUUGCCUACCAUCUCUUACCCAUGUCUUUUGAGUACCUUCGUUUCCUCGGCGGGUCCGCCCGCCGAUUGGACAAACUUAAACCCUUUGUAAUUGAAAUCAGCGUCUGAAAAAACAUAAUAGUUACAACUUUCAACAACGGAUCUCUUGGUUCUGGCAUCGAUGAAGAACGCAGCGAAAUGCGAUAAGUAGUGUGAAUUGCAGAAUUCAGUGAAAUCAUCGAAUCUUUGAACGCACAUUGCGCCCCUUGGUAUUCCAUGGGGCAUGCCUGUUCGAGCGUCAUUUGUACCUUCAAUCUCUGCUUGGUGUUGGGUGUUUGUCUCGCCUCUGCGUGUAGACUCGCCUUAAAACAAUUGGCAGCCGGCGUAUUGAUUUCGGAGCGCAGUACAUCUCGCGCUUUGCACUCAUAACGACGACGUCCAAAAAGUACUUUUUACACUCUUGACCUCGGAUCAGGUAGGGA